ACCCGGACUCCCGUCCGGGCGCACCGGCUGUCCUCGGAGCUCUACCAGCAGGCUUUCAUGGGAGCGGAGGUGCCAAUGUUUCCAUUGUGCGGUAACCGCUCUUCAUCACAGCCACCUCCAAUCGAGGCCGCACGGUGUCCCCAGAACCGCGCUUGGUACAACGUGCCCCGACCGCUGCGCUCGACUUGGGAGCGCGCCCCGCCCCGAGCGCACGACCUCCCUUCCCUCUCCGCGACUUGAGCUUGCUUCCCGGAAAACCAGUGUAGUGGCAGCGGUUUGCCUCACAGCGCCCCUGGCAGCACUGAGGAGUAAAGGAAUAUUUGGGAGGAUCAGAAGCUUGGUCCUGAUUUUGCCAUCAACCAGGACCUUGAUGACUUCAAGGGAGUCCCCAAACCCUGGGUUUCUGUUUUCUCAACUCUAACAUGAGGGGCUAGACGCAUCUGGUUUAGUUCGUCUCCAUGAUCCUGUGAAUUUCAGAUGUUGAAAAUCUUCAGAAAAGCCCUGAAAGAUGAAGAGUCUUCACCAAACUCCUCCCUCCAGAAUAUUCCUCCAGAAUAUAAAAUGCCUCACCAACAUGAGACAACAGCAGGAAGCACCCAUUUGUAGUAAUCCUCUGUAUGGAGGAGGCUGUUACAUAACCACAAAGGCACAAAGCUGCAGUUUUGAGAACAUCUUCCCACGCCAGUUCUAAGCAUUGACCUCAACUAUGGUUGCUAACACAAGAAUCCGCACUGGUGACUUUUGAGCCAUCAAUCAUCCUUUCCUAACACAUGAUUCUUUUGGAAAAUGGUCUCAAAUAGUCAAGACCCCCUGCUGGGGGGAGCGUCUAUCCUGCUCUGUGGAA
rnacentral:antisense_RNA from 1 species